ACGAGAUUCUCCUGGUUUUCGUGGGCGGGGACCCUCCCUCUUCCAGUCUCCUUGGGAGAGAUUUAACCGUGUGAGGACUGGAGUUCUCCGGGCCGCUGCGACUCCUCAGCCGGGCGGGCGCCGGCGCCACGCCUCGGGUCAGUCACGACGCUGAGGAAAAUCCUCCAUGUCCGGGAUGGGAGGCUGGUGAUGCUGGGAAGGAGCCCUCUGCCACCGCUUAUGUCGGUGUCCGGGUGACUGGACCGGUUUUCGUCCUUCCGUUUACCUCCAGAGACGACUGAGACCUGCCCUUGCUUAGAAAGAAGAGAUGACGACGCUGAUUAGCCCAAAAUCAUGGAGCUAGAAAGUGAGCCAAGACUCAAAUCCAUGACUGCCUGCUAUAGGCGGAAAUUUUAAGUAAAUAACUGGAGAAAACUUAAAAGACAUUCAGAGAUAAGUAACAACAAAUGUAUAUGUUAAAAUUUUUUAAUGAAAUUUAGUAUUCUGAGAUUUUAUUUGAAUGGUUCAAAGUGUUAGGUAUAUUAUGGUUGCUUAUGGGAGGUUUCCUGAAGGAAGUAGAUUUUGAGCUAGUGGGGUUUUGUUUUGUUUUUGUUUUUGAAUCUGUUUUAAUAAUAAGAUGAUAUUAUAUAUGAUAAUAAUAUGAUCCAUGAUAUUCUGGGACUAGCAGACCAGUUAAAGAAACAAGAGGUAAGGAGCCAUUAAUUUCAUUUUGAAAAUGGCACACAGAAAUCCUUCUUCCACUUUCCUAAUGUUGCCACCUAAGCAAAACACAUGUAUCCCAGAAUAUACUGUAAGUAUUCAGUUGGUCAGAGCUAAAAAGAACCCACAAUUUUGAGAAGCAACGUUUCAUCAUGGCUGAGUUAGUGAUCAGAAGGGUCAACCCCCAAUGGGAAACCAUUAGUAAUGAUUUAUUCCAAGAAUCAGUUCCACAGUUCCAGGUACUCUAGUGGUAUAUGAUACUCCAAGCCAGUUUUCAACUUCAAACUCUUUGUUUGUAGUUACAUCAUAGUUUCUUGUUGAAGAGGACAAAGGCUUGACUGCAUGGGAACUAACAUGCAAAUUAAAAGUGAAAACAUUUUUCCAAAAAUCUGGAGAGGCCAAAAAAAAAAAUUCAGAUUUUUUUAAACAUCCAGAUUUCAUCAAGGUAUUUUGCAUCUGUGUGUAGUGGAAAGAGCCAGAAAAUCUUGGGAACCAAUUGCACAGGCUAGAUCUCAGUUGGCACGUAUGUAAAAUGAAGUUAUGUCUGAUGCUCUCCACUGGCCUUAUAUUGUAUGCCUAUGAUGAAAUAUGGUCUUAGUCCAUUAAGUUAUAUGCAUAAUUGAAGCUAGAAAUCAAGUAUGGGGAUAAAUUGGAGAUCAAUUUCUAUUCUGUUUUAAUAACAAAAAUAAAAAUAUAUUUAUUCUCCACAUUUUUCUAAUUGAACCUUUUUUAUUCAUCAAAAUCUAUCUUUGCUAUUCUCAAUGGACAGUAUUUAUUAUAGUAAAUGUAUAUAUGUACCAGGAACAAUACUAGAGUAUUUUUUCUCUUUUUAUUUAUUUUUAUAUAUAAUAUAAUGUGUAUAUAUACACAUGUUGUAUAUACUGGGUAUAUAUAUAUCAUUAUGCAUGUUUAUUACAUAUUGUUAGAUAUUAUUGUAUAUAUGUUUUAUACACACAUACAAACCAGUCAGGCUUAAAUGAGACAAAGUAAAGAAUCUAGUAUUGUUCCUGGUACAUAAUAGCAUAAUAUUAUCUAUAUAUAUACUAGAUAUUAUAAUUCCUGCAGAAGCUCCGAAUCCCUUACUCUAAAGUCUGAUAUACACAGAUGUAAUUCUGUAUACUUUUAAGCAAGUUGAGAAUUAUUGCAAGUCACUCCUCUUGGGGUUGACUAAUAAAAGAAGGGACUAGGGUUGAGACUAGAAAAGAGAGAUAAAGCAAAAGACAAAGCAAGUAUAAGAAGCCUUUGGAAACAUAAAGUAAAGGAACAUGAAUCAAGAUCAGUCUUAGAACUGCAUACCAAGGUCUGUUUGCAGUGAGGAAGAGGAGAAGAUGAUGUCUUAUAGCAUCAAGUUAUCAGCUGAGCUAAGAUAGGAUAACUCUGUGAUUUAGGGAAUGGAUUUGGAAAAUAUCUACUUUCUCCAUCUUGAGCUCUACACUUAUUCUGCAUAACUGGGACUGUGAUAGGCUGUGGGACAGAAGUUAGCAGCUCCAGGUUACAGAAUACUAUGAAGAUAUUAGACAUCUGAAUAGAACACCAAGUUCUUGCUUUCUGCAUUCCAUUUAAGUUUGUCUCCUCAUGCCUACAUGGCACAAACUUUGCCCUUCAUCGUCUUCCUGAGGAAACCCAGACACCAAGCAUAUCAUCAUGUUUGCAGUCUUUCUGAAUUUAUGGUCAUGAAUGUUGAAGGCCAUGGAAUGUCAAUCACCCAUCUUCUCCAGGUUCUAACCGACUGAGAAUAGACGCAAGGAACCAAAUGAGCAUCUCAUUAGAGUGUCAUCUUUAUUACCUGGAUGAGCCAUUUAAAGAUGCAGGGACUUCCCUGGUGGCACAGUGGUUAAGAAUUCUCCUGCCAAUGCAGGAGGCACGGGUUCAAUCCCUGGUGUGGGAAGAUCCCACAUGCCGCGGAGCAGCUAAGCCCAUGCACCACAACUACUGAGCCCACACGCUGCAACUACUGGAGCCUGCGUGCCUACAGCCCAUACUCUGCAACAAGAGAGAAGCCACCGCAGUGAGAAGCCCGCGCACUGCAACGAAGGGUAUCCCCUGCUCGCCGCAACCAGAGAAAGCCCGUGCAGCAAGGAAAACCCAACGCAGCCAAAAUAAAUAAAAGAAAAAAUAAAGAAAAGAAAAAAAUAAAAAUGAAAAAAAAGAUUCUUAGUUUACUGGCCAUAUAGGCCAUGGGUAGGUUUUGGUCCAUGAGCCAUAAGCCUACAGAUUUAGGAGUGACUUAUUCUAAAGCCCUUUUGGCGGAUACUACUUCUUUGCUUGGCCUGAUUGUUUAGAGGGGAGAGGAGGGCAGGAGCCUGGAAUCAAAUUAUCCCCUCAGGCAGCCAAAUAUGCCCAGCCUGGGCAGAAAGGAAUGCUUCCCAUCAGCAAAUCAUCUCUAACUCUCUCAUAUCUCAAGAAAGAUCCUUUCUUUAGAUGAGCAGAAGACUUGUCUCCAGAGGAGAUACUUAAACUGAGACUUGAGAGAUAUAUGGCAAAGGGAAGCAGGAGGUGGAAAAAGAGUGUUGCAUGAAGAACACUGUUUGGAAAUCUGUACACUUUGCUCUUUAGAAGGCAGUUGGGAAUUAUACUCUCAGAACUAAAUCCCUAUGUUACCUCCUGCCAUCUUUUCUUUUACCUCUGCUCCUAUCUUGUAAUAAUUCACUCACACCUCGUAAUCAUGUUUGUAUUGUUUAUGGAAUUUAAGUGUAUUAUUGUUAUUGAAUGUUCUUAAUUUCAAAAUUAUAUAAAGUAUUAUACAAAUGCUUUUUCUAAAAAUGAAGUUGUUUUUUCACUUGCAUAUAUUCUCUGAUUCUUUUUUUUUUUAAUAGGAGUUCUUUUCCCAUUUUUUUUUAAAGUCUUUAUUGAAUUUGUUACAAUAUUGCUUCUGGGUUUUUUUAUGCUUUGGUUUUUAGGCUGUGAGGCAUGUGGGAUCUUAGCUCCCCCACCAGGGAUUGAACCUACACCACCUGCAUUGGAAGGCGAAGUCUUAACCACUGAACCGUCAGGGAAGUUCUUCUGAUUCCUUUUUUAAUUGAUGAUAUUUGCCCACUUCAAAGGAGCUUCCCUCUUUCGUCAUAUGAAAAAAUAAAUAAAUAAAUAAAUAAAC